GACGAACGCUGGCGGCGUGCUUAACACAUGCAAGUCGAACGGAAAGGCCCUGCUUUUGUGGGGUGCUCGAGUGGCGAACGGGUGAGUAACACGUGAGUAACCUGCCCUUGACUUUGGGAUAACUUCAGGAAACUGGGGCUAAUACCGGAUAGGAGCUCCUGCUGCAUGGUGGGGGUUGGAAAGUUUCGGCGGUUGGGGAUGGACUCGCGGCUUAUCAGCUUGUUGGUGGGGGAGUGGCUUACCAAGGCUUUGACGGGUAGCCGGCCUGAGAGGGUGACCGGCCACAUUGGGACUGAGAUACGGCCCAGACUCCUACGGGAGGCAGCAGUGGGGAAUAUUGCACAAUGGGCGGAAGCCUGAUGCAGCAACGCCGCGUGCGGGAUGACGGCCUUCGGGUUGUAAACCGCUUUCGCCUGUGACGAAGCGUGAGUGACGGUAAUGGGUAAAGAAGCACCGGCUAACUACGUG
rnacentral:rRNA from 1 species